rnacentral:rRNA from 1 species
AGCAGCCGCGGUAAUUCCAGCUCCAAUAGCGUAUAUUAAAGUUGUUGCAGUUAAAAGCUCGUAGUUGAAUUUCGGGACCAAUUUUGUUGGUCGUGCCUCGGUACGUACUGGUAUUAUUGGUUUCUCCCUUCUGAAGAAUCUCGAUGCCAUUAAUUUGGUGUCGUGGGGAAUCAGGACUGUUACUUUGAAAAAUUGAGUGUUUAAAGCAAGCAUACGCUUGAAUACAUUAGCAUGGAAUAAUGAAAUAGGACGUUUGAUUCUAUUUUGUUGGUUUUAGGAUCGACGUAAUGAUUAAUAGGGAUAGUUGGGGGCAUUAGUAUUCAAUUGUCAGAGGUGAAAUUCUUGGAUUUAUUGAAGACUAACUACUGCGAAAGCAUUUGCCAAGGAUGUUUUCAUUAAUCAAGAACGAAAGUUAGGGAUCGAAGACGAUCAGAUACCGUCGUAGUCUUA